rnacentral:rRNA from 1 species
UACGGGGGGGGGCAAGCGUUGUUCGGAAUUACUGGGCGUAAAGGGCUCGUAGGCGGCCAACUAAGUCAGACGUGAAAUCCCCAGGCUCAACCUGGGAACUGCGUCUGAUACUGGAUGGCUUGAAUCCGGGAGAGGGAUGCAGAAUUCCAGGUGUAGCGGUGAAAUGCGUAGAUAUCUGGAGGAAUACCGGUGGCGAAGGCGGCAUCCUGGACCGGCAUUGACGCUGAGGAGCGAAAGCCAGGGGAGCAAACGGGAUUAGAUACCCCGGUAGUCCUGGCCCUAAACGAUGAAUGCUUGGUGUAACGGGUAUCGAUCCCUGUUGUGCCGAAGCUAACGCAUUAAGCAUUCCGCCUGGGGAGUACGGUCGCAAGGCUGAA